rnacentral:rRNA from 1 species
AGAGUUUGAUCAUGGCUCAGGACGAACGCUGACGGUGUGCUUUAGGCAUGCAAGUCGAACGAGAAAGCCCUUCGGGGUGAGUAAAGUGGCGAACGGGUGAGUAACACGUGGGCAAUCUGCCCCUCGCAGGGGGACAACCGGAGGAAACUCCGGCUAAUACCCCGUACGCUUGUUGGAUCGCAUGGUCCGGCAAGGAAAGGUAGCUUCGGCCAUCCGGCGAGGGAUGGGCCCGCGUUGCAUUAGCUAGUUGGUGGGGUAACGGCCCACCAAGGCGACGAUGCGUAGCUGGUCUGAGAGGAUGAUCAGCCACACUGGGACUGAGACACGGCCCAGACUCCUACGGGAGGCAGCAGCCAGGAAUCUUGGGCAAUGGGCGAAAGCCUGACCCAGCAACACCGUGUGGGCGAUGAAGGCCUUAGGGUCGUAAAGCCCUGUUGAUAGGGACGAAGGGCGAAGGGUUAAUAGCCCCUAGCUUGACGGUACCUUUCGAGGAAGCCCCGGCUAACUACGUGCCAGCAGCCGCGGUAAUACGUAGGGGGCGAGCGUUGUCCGGAAUUAUUGGGCGUAAAGAGCGUGUAGGCGGUUCGGUAAGUCUGCUGUGAAAUCCUGGGGCUCAACCCUGGGCGUGCAGCGGAUACUGCCGGGCUAGAGGGUGGUAGAGGCGAGUGGAAUUCCGAGUGUAGCGGUGAAAUGCGCAGAUAUUCGGAGGAACACCAGUAGCGAAGGCGGCUCGCUGGGCCACACCUGACGCUGAGACGCGAAAGCGUGGGGAGCGAACAGGAUUAGAUACCCCAGUAGUCC